rnacentral:rRNA from 1 species
GGGGAAUAUUGCGCAAUGGGGGAAACCCUGACGCAGCAACGCCGCGUGGAGGAAGAAGGUCUUCGGAUUGUAAACUCCUGUCUUCUGGGACGAAAAAAAUGACGGUACCAGAGGAGGAAGCCACGGCUAACUACGUGCCAGCAGCCGCGGUGAUACGUAGGGUGCGAGCGUUGUCCGGAAUUAUUGGGCGUAAAGAGCUUGUAGGCGGUCCGUCACGUCGGAAGUGAAAACUCAGGGCUUAACCCUGAGCCUGCUUUCGAUACGGGCAGACUUGAGGGAUGUAGGGGAGAACGGAAUUCCUGGUGGAGCGGUGGAAUGCGCAGAUAUCAGGAGGAACACCAGUGGCGAAGGCGGUUCUCUGGACAUUUCCUGACGCUGAGAAGCGAAAGCGUGGGGAGCAAACA